rnacentral:rRNA from 1 species
CCUACGGGAGGCAGCAGUGGGGAAUAUUGCACAAUGGGGGAAACCCUGAUGCAGCGACGCCGCGUGAGCGAAGAAGUAUCUCGGUAUGUAAAGCUCUAUCAGCAGGGAAGAAAAUGACGGUACCUGACUAAGAAGCCCCGGCUAACUACGUGCCAGCAGCCGCGGUAAUACGUAGGGGGCAAGCGUUAUCCGGAUUUACUGGGUGUAAAGGGAGCGCAGGCGGCGCGGUAAGUCUGAUGUGAAAGCCCGGGGCUCAACCCCGGGACUGCAUUGGAAACUGUCGUGCUGGAGUGUCGGAGGGGCAAGUGGAAUUCCUAGUGUAGCGGUGAAAUGCUUAGAUAUCACGAAGAACCCCGAUUGCGAAGGCAGCCUGCCGCAGCGUUACUGACGCUGAAGCUCGAAAGCGCGGGUAUCGAACAGGAUUAGAUACCCCAGUAGUC